rnacentral:ncRNA from 1 species
AGUUAUCAAAGAGGAUGCAACCAAUAUUAGUCACAUAAGCUAGUCUGCCAAAGACAGUGAACUUAUGUAAAAGGAGCGGUUGCCGAAAUUUCAUUUAUGGCAUAAUGAAAUUGGGCUAACAAUUAAUAGUUGUUAGACUGUCACGGAAACGUGGUGCGCUUUGGAAAGU